UACGGAGGGUGCAAACGUUGCUCGGACUCAUUGGGCGUAAAACGCACGUAGGCGGCCCGGUAAGUCGGAUGUGAAAGCCCUCGGCUCAACUGAGGAAGUGCAUUCGAAACUGCUGGACUUGAGUACGGGAGAGGGAUGCGGAAUUCCCGGUGUAGAAGUGAAAUUCGUAGAUAUCGGGAGGAACACCAGUGGCGAAGGCGGGAUCCUGGACCGAUACUGACGCUGAGGUGCGAAAGCGUGGGGAGCAAACAGG
rnacentral:rRNA from 1 species